CGCUAAAACACCAGUUCUCAUAUGAUCACUGAAGUUAAGCAAUAUUGAGCCCAGUCAGUACCCAGAUGGGUGACCACUUGGGAAUAAUAGGUGCUGUAAG